CAGUCGGAGGAUCUUUACGAUCUGACGGCGUACCUUUUGUAUAAUGGGUCAUCGACUUAGUGUAUCUAGCAAGCUUAAGCCGUUAGGUGUAGGCGCAGCGAAAGCGAGUCUUAAUAGGGCGAUUGAGUUAGAUGCAUUAGACCCGAAACCGAGUGAUCUAGGCAUGACCAGGAUGAAGGUAAGGUAACACUUACUGGAGGUCCGAACCCACACCUGUUGAAAAAGGUCGGGAUGAGUUGUGCCUAGGGGUGAAAGGCCAAUCAAACUCGGAGAUAGCUGGUUCUCUGCGAAAUCUAUUUAGGUAGAGCGUCAUCCGAAUACCCUCGGGGGUAGAGCACUGGAUGGGUAAUGGGGCCCCACAGGCUUACUGAUCCUAACCAAACUCCGAAUACCGAGGAGUACUAGAUGGCAGACACACUGCGGAUGCUAACGUCCGUAGUGGAGAGGGAAACAACCCUAACCUACAGCUAAGGCCCCUAAUUCAUGGCUAAGUGGGAAAGCAGGUGGGACGACCAUAACAACCAGGAGGUUGGCUUAGAAGCAGCCAUCCUUUAAAGAUAGCGUAACAGCUCACUGGUCUAAAUAAGUUGUCCUGCGGCGAAGAUGUAACGGGGCUCAAGCCAUGAGCCGAAGCUUAGGAUGCCGUAAGGCAUGGUAGCAGAGCGUAG
rnacentral:rRNA from 1 species